rnacentral:tRNA from 1 species
GAACCAGUGUGGUAUAGUGGUUUGAGCAUUAGACUAUGACUCUGGAGACCAGGGUUCAAAUCCCAGCUCAUCCA